GGAUGAACGCUGGCGGCGUGCCUAAUACAUGCAAGUCGAACGAACUUCCGUUAAUUGAUUAUGACGUACUUGUACUGAUUGAGAUUUUAACACGAAGUGAGUGGCGAACGGGUGAGUAACACGUGGGUAACCUGCCCAGAAGUAGGGGAUAACACCUGGAAACAGAUGCUAAUACCGUAUAACAGAGAAAACCGCAUGGUUUUCUUUUAAAAGAUGGCUCUGCUAUCACUUCUGGAUGGACCCGCGGCGUAUUAGCUAGUUGGUGAGGUAAAGGCUCACCAAGGCAGUGAUACGUAGCCGACCUGAGAGGGUAAUCGGCCACAUUGGGACUGAGACACGGCCCAGACUCCUACGGGAGGCAGCAGUAGGGAAUCUUCCACAAUGGACGCAAGUCUGAUGGAGCAACGCCGCGUGAGUGAAGAAGGGUUUCGGCUCGUAAAGCUCUGUUGUUAAAGAAGAACGUGGGUAAGAGUAACUGUUUACCCAGUGACGGUAUUUAACCAGAAAGCCACGGCUAACUACGUGCCAGCAGCCGCGGUAAUACGUAGGUGGCAAGCGUUAUCCGGAUUUAUUGGGCGUAAAGCGAGCGCAGGCGGUCUUUUAAGUCUAAUGUGAAAGCCUUCGGCUCAACCGAAGAAGUGCAUUGGAAACUGGGAGACUUGAGUGCAGAAGAGGACAGUGGAACUCCAUGUGUAGCGGUGAAAUGCGUAGAUAUAUGGAAGAACACCAGUGGCGAAGGCGGCUGUCUGGUCUGCAACUGACGCUGAGGCUCGAAAGCAUGGGUAGCGAACAGGAUUAGAUACCCUGGUAGUCCAUGCCGUAAACGAUGAUUACUAAGUGUUGGAGGGUUUCCGCCCUUCAGUGCUGCAGCUAACGCAUUAAGUAAUCCGCCUGGGGAGUACGACCGCAAGGUUGAAACUCAAAAGAAUUGACGGGGGCCCGCACAAGCGGUGGAGCAUGUGGUUUAAUUCGAAGCUACGCGAAGAACCUUACCAGGUCUUGACAUCUUCUGACAGUCUAAGAGAUUAGAGGUUCCCUUCGGGGACAGAAUGACAGGUGGUGCAUGGUUGUCGUCAGCUCGUGUCGUGAGAUGUUGGGUUAAGUCCCGCAACGAGCGCAACCCUUAUUACUAGUUGCCAGCAUUAAGUUGGGCACUCUAGUGAGACUGCCGGUGACAAACCGGAGGAAGGUGGGGACGACGUCAAAUCAUCAUGCCCCUUAUGACCUGGGCUACACACGUGCUACAAUGGAUGGUACAACGAGUCGCGAGACCGCGAGGUUAAGCUAAUCUCUUAAAACCAUUCUCAGUUCGGACUGUAGGCUGCAACUCGCCUACACGAAGUCGGAAUCGCUAGUAAUCGCGGAUC
rnacentral:rRNA from 1 species